GGGAAGAACACGUGCCGUUCCGAAGUAGGGCCGGCACCUUGACGGUACCUCGAUCAGGAAAGCCCCGGCUAACUACGUGCCAGCAGCCGCGGUAAUACGUAGGGGGCAAGCGUUGUCCGGAAUUAUUGGGCGUAAAGCGCGCGCAGGCGGUCUCUUAAGUCUGAUGUGAAAGCCCACGGCUCAACCGUGGAGGGCCAUUGGAAACUGGGGGACUUGAGUGUAGGAGAGGAAAGUGGAAUUCCACGUGUAGCGGUGAAAUGCGUAGAUAUAUGGAGGAACACCGGUGGCGAAAGCGGCUCUCUGGUCUGUAACUGACGCUGAGGCUCGAAAGCGUGGGGAG
rnacentral:rRNA from 1 species